rnacentral:rRNA from 1 species
CUAACAAGGAUUUUCUUAGUAGCGGCGAGCGAAAAGAAAUCAGUUCAGCACUAAGUCACUUUGUCGUUUAUGGCAAAUGUGAGAUGCAGUGUAUGGAACGCCUUUAAUCUAGUAUGAGAAAUUAAUGAUUUAAGUCCUUCUUAAAUGAGGCCAUUUACCCAUAGAGGGUGCCAGGCCCGUAUAACAUUAAUGAUUACUAGAAGGUGUUUCCAAAGAGUCGUGUUGCUUGAUAGUGCAGCACUAAGUGGGUGGUAAACUCCAUCUAAAACUAAAUAUAACCAUGAGACCGAUAGUAAACAAGUACCGUGAGGGAAAGUUGAAAAGAACUCUGAAUAGAGAGUUAAAUAGUACGUGAAACUGCUUAGAGGUUAAGCCCGAUGAACCUGAAUAUCCAUUAUGGAAAAUUCAUCAUUAUGCUUAUGAUAUCCCUGAAGCCUUUGUGCUGCUUGUGUUAUAUUAUAAAAAUAGUGUGCAUUUUUUCCAUAUAAGGACAUUGUAAUCUAUUAACUACACAUUAUAAUUUAUCAAAAGAUCAUAUAUGCUUAAGUUUAUUCAAAUUAUUUUUUAUUUAACAUGAAUUUUAACAUAGAAUAAAUGCAUUAAUGAUUUGAUAAAGUGUUGAUAGAUUUAUAAAUAUAUAUAGUGCUUAAAUUAUUGUAAUAUAUAAUUUUACAUUAAUAUAUUAAUCUAAUGAUUUUUAUAUUUAUUAUGUAUGCGCUUAUAUGAUUAACAAUGCGAAAGAUUCAGGAUACCUUCGGGACCCGUCUUGAAACACGGACCAAGGAGUCUAACAUAUGUGCAAGUCAUUGGGAUAAUAUUUAUAAAACCUAAUGGCGUAAUUAACUUGACUUAAUUUUUAUAAUUUGGGAUUAAUUUUAUAAUGUUUUUAAUUAAAUAUUAUUUAAUUCAAUCCCGGGGCGUUCUAUAUGGUUAUGUAUAUUAAUAUUUAUAUUAUUUAUACCUCUAACUGGAGCGUACCUUGAGCACAUAUGCUGUGACCCGAAAGAUGGUGAACUAUACUUGAUCAGGUUGAAGUCAGGGGAAACCCUGAUGGAAGACCGAAACAGUUCUGACGUGCAAAUCGAUUGUCAGAAUUGAGUAUAGGGGCGAAAGACCAAUCGAACCAUCUAGUAGCUGGUUCCCUCCGAAGUUUCCCUCAGGAUAGCUGGUGCAUUUAAAUAUUAUAUAAAAUAAUCUUAUCUGGUAAAGCGAAUGAUUAGAGGCAUUAGGGUCGAAACGACCUUAACCUAUUCUCAAACUUUAAAUGGGUAAGAACCUCACCUUACUUGAUAUGAAGGUUGUGGUUAUGAUAUAAUGUGCCCAGUGGGCCACUUUUGGUAAGCAGAACUGGCGCUGUGGGAUGAACCAAACGUAAUGUUACGGUGCCCAAAUUAACAACUCAUACAGAUACCAUGAAAGGCGUUGGUUGCUUAAAACAGCAGGACGGUGGACAUGGAAGUCGUAAUCCGCUAAGGAGUGUGUAACAACUCACCUGCCGAAGCAACUAGCCCUUAAAAUGGAUGGCGCUUAAGUUGUAUACCUAUACAUUACCGCUAAAGUAUAUGAUUUAUGUAUAGAGUUUUACUCUAUAUGUACAUUUUUAAACUUUAGUGAGUAGGAGGGUACUAUGGUGUGCUUAGAAGUGUUUGGCGUAAGCCUGCAUGGAGCCGCCAUUGGUACAGAUCUUGGUGGUAGUAGCAAAUAAUCGAAUGAGACCUUGGAGGACUGAAGUGGAGAAGGGUUUCGUGUGAACAGUGGUUGAUCACGAGUUAGUCGGUCCUAAGUUCAAGGCGAAAGCCGAAAAUUUUUAAGUUAUAUUAUACAUACAUGCAUAUACAUAUACAUACACAUAAUAUAAAAUUAUAACUAUAUAUUCUUAUUGUAUAUUUGUAUUGUAUUAUACACUUAAUCAUUUUUGAACGAAAGGGAAUACGGUUCCAAUUCCGUAACCUGUUGAGUAUCCGUUUGUUAUUAAAUAUGGGCCAUUGUGCUCAUCCUGGCAACAGGAACGACCAUAAAGAAGCCGUCGAGAGAUAUCGGAAGAGUUUUCUUUUCUGUUUUAUAGUCGUACUACCAUGGAAGUCUUUCGAAGAGAGAUAUGGUAGAUGGACUAGAAGAGCAUGACAUUUACUGUUGUGUCGAUAUUUUCUCCUCGGACCUUGAAAAUUUAUGGUGGGGUCACGCAAACUUCUCAACAGGCCGUACCGAUAUCCGCAGCUGGUCUCCAAGGUGAAGAGUCUCUAGUCGAUAGAAUAAUGUAGGUAAGGGAAGUCGGCAAAUUAGAUCCGUAACUUCGGGAUAAGGAUUGGCUCUGAAGAUUGAGAUAGUCGGGCUUGAUUUGGAAGCAAUAACAUGGUUUAUGUGCUCGUUCUGGGUAAAUAGAGAUAUCUCCCCAUCCUCUCAUUCUAUGGGAGGGCUGGGUGUGGAUAUCUUGUUCCCCGGAUAGUAGUUAUGUAGCCAAUUGUGGAAAUUUCUUGCUAAAAUUGUCUAAAAUUGUUAU